UAGGGAAUCUUCGGCAAUGGGGGGAACCCUGACCGAGCAACGCCGCGUGAGUGAAGAAGGUUUUCGGAUCGUAAAGCUCUGUUGUUAAGGAAGAACGAGUGUGAGAAUGGAAAGUUCAUACUGUGACGGUACUUAACCAGAAAGGGACGGCUAACUACGUGCCAGCAGCCGCGGUAAUACGUAGGUCCCGAGCGUUGUCCGGAUUUAUUGGGCGUAAAGCGAGCGCAGGCGGUUAGAAAAGUCUGAAGUGAAAGGCAGUGGCUCAACCAUUGUAGGCUUUGGAAACUGUUUAACUUUAGUGCAGAAGGGGAGAGUGGAAUUCCAUGUGUAGCGGUGAAAUGCGUAGAUAUAUGGAGGAACACCGGUGGCGAAAGCGGCUCUCUGGUCUGUAACUGACGCUGAGGCUCGAAAGCGUGGGGAGCGAACAGG
rnacentral:rRNA from 1 species